rnacentral:rRNA from 1 species
AUUGAACGCUGGCGGCAGGCCUAACACAUGCAAGUCGAGCGGAGCGGCGGACGGGUGAGUAAUGCAUGGGAAUCUGCCUGGUAGAGGGGGAUAACGUCCGGCAACGGGCGCUGAUACCGCAUACUCUCUGAUGAGCCUAUGUCGGAUUAGCGAGUUGGUAGGGUAAAGGCUUACCAAGGCGACGAUCCGUAACUGGUCUGUGAGGAUGAUCAGUCACAAUGGAACUGAGACACGGUCCAGACUCCUACGGGAGGCAGCAGUGGGGAAUAUUGGACAAUGGGCGAAAGCCUGAUGCAGCCAUGCCGCGUGUGUGAAGAAGGUCUUCGGGUUGUAAAGUACUUUAAGUUGGGAGGCGUUACCGACAGAAGAAGCACCGGCUAACUUCGUGCCAGCAGCCGCGGUAAUUC